rnacentral:rRNA from 1 species
UACGUAGGGUGCAAGCGUUGUCCGGAAUUAUUGGGCGUAAAGAGCUCGUAGGCGGUUUGUCGCGUCGAAUGUGAAAUCCCGGGGCUCAACCCCGGGUCUGCAUUCGAUACGGGCAGACUAGAGUUCGGUAGGGGAGUCUGGAAUUCCUGGUGUAGCGGUGAAAUGCGCAGAUAUCAGGAGGAACACCGGUGGCGAAGGCGGCUUGCUGGGCCUUACCUGACGCUGAGGAGCGAAAGCGUGGGGAGCGAACAGG